rnacentral:lncRNA from 10 species
CAACCAAGAUCAAACCUCUAGGACCUGCCAGAGCCAGUGGGCUGAGCAAGAAGCCGGCAAGCAUCCAGAAGAGAAAGCAUCAUAAUGCCGAGAACAAGCCGGGGUUACAGAUCAAACUCAAUGAGCUCUGGAAAAACUUUGGAUUUAAAAAAUGGAGUCUCGCUGUGUCACAAUCUCAGCUCACUGCAACCUCUGCCUCCCAGGUUCAAGCAAUUCUGCCUCAGCCUCCCAAGGAGCUGAGAUUACAGCUUCCUCCAUCCUAGGCAGAAAUAAAGUCCCAAAUCUUUGUUUUUUAACGGGUCAUAGAGGACCCAUCAUCACCCUUUAUUCAUUCCUUGAUCAUCUCAGGCUAGAGAAGUCUAGGGAUACAGCUAUAUAUAACAUGACCAGAAG